UACGAAGGGUGCAAGCGUUAUUCGGAGUUAUUGGGCGUAAAGGGUGCGCAGGCGGUAUAUUAAGUCAACUGUCAAAUUUCCCAGCUUAACUGGGGGCAGGCGGUAGAUACUGAUAUGCUUGAGGGUGGAAGAGAGAAGUGGAAUUCUCGGAGUAGCGGUAAAAUGCGUAGAUCUCGAGAGGAACACCGAUGGCGAAGGCAGCUUCUUGGUCCACAUCUGACGCUCAUGCACGAAAGCGUGGGGAGCAAAC
rnacentral:rRNA from 1 species